rnacentral:rRNA from 1 species
AACGGGUGAGUAACACGUGAGUAACCUGCCCCUGACUCUGGGAUAAGCGUUGGAAACGACGUCUAAUACUGGAUAUGAUCACUGGCCGCAUGGUCUGGUGGUGGAAAGAUUUUUUGGUUGGGGAUGGACUCGCGGCCUAUCAGCUUGUUGGUGAGGUAAUGGCUCACCAAGGCGACGACGGGUAGCCGGCCUGAGAGGGUGACCGGCCACACUGGGACUGAGACACGGCCCAGACUCCUACGGGAGGCWGCAGUGGGGAAUAUUGCACAAUGGGCGAAAGCCUGAUGCAGCAACGCCGCGUGAGGGAUGACGGCCUUCGGGUUGUAAACCUCUUUUAGUAGGGAAGAAGCGAAAGUGACGGUACCUGCAGAAAAAGCACCGGCUAACUACGUGCCAGCAGCCGCGGUAAUACGUAGGGUGCAAGCGUUGUCCGGAAUUAUUGGGCGUAAAGAGCUCGUAGCGGUUUUGUCSCGUCUGCUGUGAAAUCCCGAGGCUCAACCUCGGGCUUGCAGUGGGUACGGGCAAACUAAAGUGCGGUAGGGGAAAUGG